rnacentral:lncRNA from 1 species
GGAAACUGGAUGUUCUCCUAAAACAGCCACCUAGCCAAGCUGAACCAACAGAGAUGUAUUGAUCACCGGGUCAAUGGAACUAGGUGGGUGCUGGGGGGAAAGUCAGCAGGUAAGUCAGGUGAGGACUGCCUCCCUUCCACUCCCCACCCAGAGACUGAAGACAGACAGACAGACAGAGGCGUUCAUUCAGAAAGAAGUAGGAGGGCUUCAGGGAUUCAGCGGAGGAGACUGAAAGCCUGAGAGACGAUGCCUCUGAGAAGGUUACAGACCUUGGGAGAAAGCGCUUUCACCUCCUCACCACAGACACUCUCGACUGUGGACUCAGGACACUAAGCCAGAAAGGUGACGAUUUCCUUCUUGAACCCGGCCUGCAUCAGCAGCUCAGACCCAGGGCUCCGGGUCCUUUGCUCUAUGUCCAGUGCUCUUUUUGCUCCCUCACACACUUAGCGAUGGCAGUGUUCUUAGUAUACUCAAAGAGCUUUGUAAUGAAUUAGAGCAGCCAUUCCCAACCUUCCUAGUGCUGCGGUCCUUUAAUACAGUUUCUUAAGUUGUGGCGAACCAUCCCCCCCACCCCCAACCAUAACAUUAUUCUUGCUGCUGCUGUUAUGAAUCGUAAUGAAACAUUUGAUCUGCAGUACAUCUGAUAUGUGAUUCCCGAGAAAGGGCCAUCAUAUUCCAAGGGAUCGGGACCCACAGCGUGAGAAGCCCUGAACUAGAGAUCCGCCUAAACUGAGAAACAACCUAGCACCUAUCCCAGCCCAUCAAUGUUGUAUAUGGCAACAGAUUCAAAAGCCCAGACUAAAACAUACUCACCAUCCAUGUUACCAGCUCUCACCAUGGGGCAGCAAUGUGGAUUUAGUAAGCAUAGCCCACGGGCACUCAUUUUGAAGACACUAGGAGAACUUCAAAGCCAGGUUUGUUCUUCUGCCUCUGGUGACAUUUUUAAAAUUUCAGCACUGUUUUUUUUUUUAAUUGAUUCUUUGUGAAUUUCAUAUCAUGCACCUCAGUCCUGCACAUCUCCUGUCCCCUCCCUCCCUCCAACCUCCACCCUUCCCCAACAAAGAAAAAUAAGUCCCCACUAUGGAAGCUGUAGUGUGCCAUCGUGUGUCCUUUUGUCCACACUUCUUUGCUUGCAAGUGCUCAUUGCAUUGACUUUGUUGGUCUGGUACGAGUCAGGCCUCUGGCUUCUGCUAUGCUAACGAUGCUAGAACCUUACUGAGACUCCUCUAGGGUAGACUGUUGUCACCCCGUGUGUCAUGGAGACCCUGUAGUUUUGGAUCUGCAGGACUGGCUUCUUCACGUACUCCAGCAGUUCAUUGAUGGGAUAGACGUGGGGUGGGCUAACUCAAAGCCCUGGAUCUGGGCCUGAGAGGUGUCUGAGCUGCUCAGCCCACCAGCUCUCCAGUUCUUGUGGCCUUUGGAUUGGCUCGCCAGCAACCCCCUCUCCCAGGGCUAGCUCUCCUGGCUGACCAGGUCGGUCCUUAUAUUUGCUUUAGGAACCUGACAAGACUGACUAGCCAUCUCUAGCAUUCAGAUAGGUGGAACUUCAUUGUGCUGAAGUUAUGUUUGAGCACCCUCUGCUGGACAAAUCAGAUGUGAGCGAGCAGUCUCCUUCCUGCUGCUGCAGCUGCAAGCUGCUCCUGCCGCCCAUGCCUUCUCUACUGCCAUGCCUUCCCUACCACAAGGGCCAGAACUCUCACACUGAAAGCCAGAAUAAAUCCUUCCUCUCUUCGGUUGGUUGUUGUCAGGAGAAGGCAGCAGCUGGCAUCAAUGGUGUGGUGAGGAGAGAAUCAAGUUUCCUUCUCCAGUUCAAACAGACGAAAGUGAAGCGACAUAGGCUCAAGGACAGGGUCACUGGGCUAGCGCCACACCAUGGAGCCAAACCCCGAGCCUUCUAAAUUGUGAGCUGGGCAUGGUGGUUCACCCCAGGAAUCGCAGCACUGAGGGAUGAAGGCGAGAGAGUCACUGUGGGUGUGACAUCAGUCUGGCCUGAAGUCUGAGACUGUUUUUUUAAAAAGAAAACAUUUUUUUAUGUCAUAUAUUUAAUUAUAUAAAGAUUCUGUUGUUUUGUUGUUGUUGUUGUUAAAAUUCAGCCAGGAAAUUUCCAUCUGUCUGGUGUUAAUUGGUUGUUUUUCAGCACUAAUUGGGAAAUGAUAUAUUUUUAUUGUUUUAUAAAUAGAGUAAAACCCCUCAGAAACUGCUGGGGAAAUUUAAACAAGGAAAGCAAUUCUAUGUCCUUGCUUGACACCAGUUUGUCCCAGAGGUGACACAACUGUGUAGUUUUUGAAAACACUGGGCAUUUAUAUAUAUAUGAGACAAAACCCCACUGUAUAGCCCUGGCUAACUCGAAACUCACUAUGUAAAUCAGGCUGGGCUUUGACACACAGAGCUCUGCCUUUGCCUACUCAGUGUUGGGAUUUAACACCCACACCACCAUAGCCAGCCUUCUCUCCAAGGGGCAAAUUUCUUUCUGAAGCAACUUCCUCAUUUAUUAACAGUAUUGCUUCCAGACCCCGUGUGUGUGUGUGUGUGUGUGUGUGUGUGUGUGUGUGUGUGUACAGAUAUGUGUUUGCAAGUAUUUAGACACAAGUUGAUGCAGACUACACCAGUUUCAUGAAAUUGUUCCCAUGUCAGUGGCUAGUCUGAGCCUUUUGUACUUGUAAACAGCUGGCUGUAAACUGGGGAUUCCCAUACUCUCCUCUUCAGCCCCAUAAUUAUCAUGGUGAUUUGCAACCUGUAGGUAAUGACCCGUUUGGCUCAUAUAUCAGAUAUUCUGCAUGUCAGAUAUUUAUAUUUUGAUUCAUAACAAUAGUAAAAUUAUAGUUAUGAAGUAGUAAUGUAAAUAGUUACACUGUGGGGGUCACCACAACACGAGGAACUGUGUUAAAUGGCUUCAGCAAUAGGAAGGUUGAGAGCCACUGAUUUAUUAGGUCAUUUCAUGGAUCGUGGGGAUGCUUUCUACUUUCAUCUAUUGUUUAUUACAAAAGAUGUAGACAGACAGAUAGAUAGACAGACUCACAGAUAAAUAGAAAAAUAGAUGACAGAAAGAUAGAAAGUUAGGUAAAAAGAUAAAAAGAUAGGUAGAUGCUAGAAAGAUAGAUAGACUCAAAGACAAAUAGAAAGAUAGAUAAUAGAGAAAGGUGGAAAGAAAAAUAGAUAGAUGAUGGAAAGAUAGGUAGAUAGACUGACAGAAUGA